rnacentral:rRNA from 1 species
UACGGGGGGAGCAAGCGUUGUUCGGAUUUACUGGGCGUAAAGGGUGCGUAGGCGGCGCGGUAAGUCGGGUGUGAAAUCUCGGAGCUUAACUCCGAAACUGCAUUCGAUACUGCCGUGCUUGAGGACUGGAGAGGAGACUGGAAUUUACGGUGUAGCGGUGAAAUGCGUAGAUAUCGUAAGGAAGGCCAGUGGCGAAGGCGGGUCUCUGGACAGUUCCUGACGCUGAGGCACGAAGGCCAGGGGAGCAAACGGG